UACGGGGGGAGCGAACGUUGUUCGGAAUUACUGGGCGUAAAGGGCGUACAGGCGGCUCUGUAAGUGGAAUGUGAAAUGCCCUGGCUUAACCAGGGAACUGCAUCCCAUACUGCAGGGCUUGAGUAUAGGAGAGGAUGGGGGAAUUCCCGGUGUAGCGGUGAAAUGCAUUGAUAUCGGGAGGAACACCAGUGGCGAAGGCGCCCAUCUGGCCUAAUACUGACGCUUACGCGCGAAAGCUAGGGGAGCAAACAGG
rnacentral:rRNA from 1 species